GACGAACGCUGGCGGCGUGCCUAAUACAUGCAAGUUGAGCGAUGAAGAUUGGUGCUUGCACCAAUUUGAAGAGCAGCGAACGGGUGAGUAACGCGUGGGGAAUCUGCCUUUGAGCGGGGGACAACAUUUGGAAACGAAUGCUAAUACCGCAUAACAACUUUAAACAUAAGUUUUAAGUUUGAAAGAUGCAAUUGCAUCACUCAAAGAUGAUCCCGCGUUGUAUUAGCUAGUUGGUGAGGUAAAGGCUCACCAAGGCGAUGAUACAUAGCCGACCUGAGAGGGUGGUCGGCCACAUUGGGACUGAAACACGGCCCAAACUCCUACGAGAAGCAGCAGUAGGAAAUCUUAGGCAAUGGACGAAAGUCUGACCGAGCGGCGCCGCGUGAGUGAAGGAGGUUUUCGGAUCGUAAAACUCUGUUGGUAGAGAAGAACGUGGGUGAGAGUGGAAAGCUCAUCAAGUGACGGUAGCUACACAGAAAGGGACGGCUAACUACGU
rnacentral:rRNA from 1 species